rnacentral:rRNA from 1 species
UACGUAGGGUGCGAGCGUUAAUCGGAAUUACUGGGCGUAAAGCGUGCGCAGGCGGCUUCUCAAGUCAGGGGUGAAAGCCCAGAGCUCAACUCUGGAACUGCCUUUGAGACUGAGAGGCUUGAGUACGGGAGAGGUGAGUGGAAUCCCCAGUGUAGAGGUGAAAUUCGUAGAUAUUGGGAAGAACACCGGUGGCGAAGGCGGCUCACUGGCCCGUAACUGACGCUCAUGCACGACAGCGUGGGGAGCAAACAGG